UACGUAUGGUGCAAGCGUUAUCCGGAUUUACUGGGUGUAAAGGGAGUGUAGGUGGUUUGGCAAGUCAGAAGUGAAAGCCCAGGGCUCAACCCUGGGACUGCUUUUGAAACUGCCAGACUGGAGUGCAGGAGAGGUAAGUGGAAUUCCUAGUGUAGCGGUGAAAUGCGUAGAUAUUAGGAGGAACACCAGUGGCGAAGGCGGCUUACUGGACUGUAACUGACGCUGAGGCGCGAAAGCCAGGGGAGCAAACGGG
rnacentral:rRNA from 1 species